AUUGAAUGAUGAUAAAACUUUUUUUUCAGUUCUGCUUCUGAGCAUACAGGAAGAUAACCCAUAUUACCAAAAUCAAUAUCUGAAAU
rnacentral:snoRNA from 1 species